AGUCGAGCGGGUAUCCGCAAGGGUACCAGCGGCGCACGGGUGAUUAACACGUGGGUAACCUACCCUUCAGUGGGGGAUAACUAGGGGAAACCCUGGCUAAUACCCCAUGUGAUCCAACAACGAAGGUUGUUGGAUUAAAGAAGCAAUUGCUUCGCUGAAGGAUGGGCCCGCGUCCCAUCAGGUAGUUGGUGAGGUAAUGGCUCACCAAGCCCACGACGGGUAGCCGGCCUGAGAGGGUGGUCGGCCACAGGGGCACUGAGACACGGGCCCCACUCCUACGGGAGGCAGCAGUGGGGAAUUUUGGACAAUGGGCGAAAGCCUGAUCCAGCGACGCCGCGUGGGGGACUAAGCCCUUCGGGGUGUGAACCCCUGUUGCGAGGGACGAAUAAGGUGCGGAGUGAAAUGUCGCACCGAUGACGGUACCUCGNNAGAAAGCCCCGGCUAACUACGUGUCAUCAGCCGCGGUANUACGUAGGGGGCAAGCGUUACCCGGAUUUACUGGGCGUAAAGGGUGCGUAGCGUUUAGUGUGUCGGGUGUGAAAUCCACGGCUCAACCGUGGAAUUGCGCCGAAACUACUAAUCUGGGGACGGUAGAGGGAGAUGGAACUGCCGGUGUAGGGGUGAAAUCCGUAGAUAUCGGCAGGAACGCCGGUGGGGAAGCCGGUCUCUGGGCCGCUCCCGACGCUGAGGCACGAAAGCUAGGGGAGCAAACCGGAUUAGAUACCCGGGUAGUCCUAGCUGUAAACGAUGCCCACUAGGUGUGGGGGAAUUAUUCCUCCGUGCUGGAGCUAACGCGCUAAGUGGGCCGCCUGGGGGGUACGCCCGCAAGGGUGAAACUCAAAGGAAUUGGCGGGACCUCGCACAAGCGGUGGAGCGCGUGGUUCAAUUGGAUGCUGAGCCAAGAACCUUACCAGGGCUUGACAUGCGGGUGGUACCAACCCGAAAGGGAAGGGACUCCUUCCUUUUGGAAGGAGAGCUCGCACAGGUGGUGCACGGCCGUCGUCAGCUCGUGCCGUGAGGUGUUGGGUUAAGUCCCGCAACAAGCGCAACCCCUGCCCUUAGUUGCCAGCGGUUCGGCCGGGCACUCUAAGGGGACUGCCGGCGACGAGCCGGAGGAAGGAGGGGACGACGUCAGGUAAUCGUGCCCUUUAUGCCCUGGGCGACACACGCGCUACAAUGGGUAGUACAAUGGGUUGCGACCCCGCGAGGGGGAGCUAAUCCCAUAAAACCGCCCUCAGUUGGGAUCGCAGUCUGCAACUCGACUGCGUGAACGCGGAAUCGCUAGUAACGGCGGGUCAGCCAUACCGCCGUGAAUACGUUCCCGGGCCUUGUACACACCGCCCGUCAAGUCACCCGAGUCGGCUGCACCCGAAGUCGGUCGCCUAACCCGCAAGGGAGGGAGCCGCCGAAGGUG
rnacentral:rRNA from 1 species